UACGUAGGGUGCUAGAGUUGUCCGGAUUUACUGGGUGUAAAGGGUGCUCAGGUGGAUUUGUAAGUCAGAGGUGAAAUCCCAAAGCUUAACUUUGGUGCUGCCUUUGAUACUGCAAGUCUAGAGUUUGAGAGAGGGCAAUGGAAUAUCUGGUGUAGCAGUGAAAUGCGUAGAUAUCGUAAGGAAGACCAGUGGCGAAGGCGGGUCUCUGGACAGUUCCUGACGCUGAGGCACGAAGGUCAGGGGAGCAAACGGG
rnacentral:rRNA from 1 species